rnacentral:rRNA from 1 species
GACGAACGCUGGCGGCGUGCUUAACACAUGCAAGUCGAGCGGAAAGGCCCUUUCGGGGGUACUCGAGCGGCGAACGGGUGAGUAACACGUGAGUAACCUGCCCUUGGCUUUGGGAUAACCCUCGGAAACGGGGGCUAAUACCGAAUAUUCACUACUUCUCGCAUGGGGGGUGGUGGAAAGAUUUUUUGGCUGGGGAUGGGCUCGCGGCCUAUCAGCUUGUUGGUGGGGUGAUGGCCUACCAAGGCGACGACGGGUAGCCGGCCUGAGAGGGCGACCGGCCACACUGGGACUGAGACACGGCCCAGACUCCUACGGGAGGCAGCAGUGGGGAAUAUUGCACAAUGGGCGCAAGCCUGAUGCAGCGACGCCGCGUGAGGGAUGACGGCCUUCGGGUUGUAAACCUCUUUCAGCAGGGACGAAGCGUAAGUGACGGUACCUGCAGAAGAAGCGCCGGCCAACUACGUGCCAGCAGCCGCGGUAAGACGUAGGGCGCGAGCGUUGUCCGGAUUUAUUGGGCGUAAAGAGCUCGUAGGCGGCUUGUUGCGUCGGCUGUGAAAACCCAUGGCUCAACCGUGGGCUUGCAGCCGAUACGGGCAGGCUAGAGUUCGGUAGGGGAGACUGGAAUUCCUGGUGUAGCGGUGAAAUGCGCAGAUAUCAGGAGGAACACCGGUGGCGAAGGCGGGUCUCUGGGCCGAUACUGACGCUGAGGAGCGAAAGCGUGGGGAGCGAACAGGAUUAGAUACCCUGGUAGUCCACGCUGUAAACGUUGGGCGCUAGGUGUGGG